GACGAACGCUGGCGGCGUGCUUAACACAUGCAAGUCGAACGAAGAGCGAUGGAAGCUUGCUUCUAUCAAUCUUAGUGGCGAACGGGUGAGUAACGCGUAAUCAACCUGCCCUUCAGAGGGGGACAACAGUUGGAAACGACUGCUAAUACCGCAUACGAUCUAAUCUCGGCAUCGAGGAUAGAUGAAAGGUGGCCUCUACAUGUAAGCUAUCACUGAAGGAGGGGAUUGCGUCUGAUUAGCUAGUUGGAGGGGUAACGGCCCACCAAGGCGAUGAUCAGUAGCCGGUCUGAGAGGAUGAACGGCCACAUUGGGACUGAGACACGGCCCAGACUCCUACGGGAGGCAGCAGUGGGGAAUCUUCCGCAAUGGACGAAAGUCUGACGGAGCAACGCCGCGUGAGUGAUGACGGUCGUCGGGUUGUAAAGCUCUGUUAAUCGGGACGAAAGGCCUUCUUGCGAAUAGUGAGAAGGAUUGACGGUACCGGAAUAGAAAGCCACGGCUAACUACGUG
rnacentral:rRNA from 1 species